GGGCGAUUAGCUCAGUUGGUUAGAGCAUCUGCUUUCCACGCAGAGGGUCAGGGGUUCAAGUCCUCUAUCGCCCACCA
rnacentral:tRNA from 1 species